rnacentral:rRNA from 1 species
GAUGAACGCUGGCGGCGUGCCUAAUACAUGCAAGUCGAACGAAACUUCUUUAUCACCGAGUGCUUGCACUCACCGAUAAAGAGUUGAGUGGCGAACGGGUGAGUAACACGUGGGCAACCUACCCAAAAGAGGGGGAUAACACUUGGAAACAGGUGCUAAUACCGCAUAACCAUAGUUACCGCAUGGUAACUAUGUAAAAGGUGGCUAUACUACCGCCUUUGGAUGGGCCCGCGGCGCAUUAGCUAGUUGGUAGGGUAAAGGCUUACCAAGGCAAUGAUGCGUAGCCGAAUUGAGAGGUUGAUCGGCCACAUUGGGACUGAGACACGGCCCAAACUCCUACGGGAGGCAGCAGUAGGGAAUCUUCCACAAUGGGCGAAAGCCUGAUGGAGCAACGCCGCGUGGGUGAAGAAGGUCUUCGGAUCGUAAAACCCUGUUGUUAGAGAAGAAAGUGCGUGAGAGUAACUGUUCACGUUUCGACGGUAUCUAACCAGAAAGCCACGGCUAACUACGUG